rnacentral:misc_RNA from 1 species
CUGAAAACUGUAAAAAUGGCGGUUUUUAUUUUUGUUUUCAUAAAAAUUGUUUGAAAGUUUGUGAUUUUGACUUCGUCUUCCACCGCUGCUGGAUUAUUUAAUUAUUUAGGUAUUUCAUACAGUUGUACAAACCAAUACCGAAAUAUGACUGCCGAAGAAAGUGAUGACUUUGAGAAAGCCCCAUCCACCACCUCUAUAUCCCAGAUUUCCAGAAUAAACAGACAGUUCCGGCUGAAGUCGAACCGGAAAAGCAAUAUUAUUAGUAUGGUACAAGAACUCUAUCUUCGAAAAGAUGUUCCUUGCAAAAGUCUUUUAUGCCAGAACAAUUGCACAUCGAAUAAAGAAAAUGAUGUAUUCCUAUCAUUGGAUGUUUCACAUUAUGUUGUACUGGAUAGCCAGAUAUGCAGGGACUAUUUGGAAAUAUGGGAAACACCAGAGAUAAAAGGAAUUAUAUUCCCCCAAACUAUUGUUAACAGUGUCCAGUAUGAAGGUAACAGCCGUCAGGUGAAACGACUGAAGGCCCUCCUGGAUGAUCCUCGUAAAGGAUCAGUGUUGUUCUGUAAUGAGUUUCAUGAAGAUGUGUAUUGUGAAAGACAACCAAAAGAACCAACAUCAGAAUGGCAAACUAAGUGUUGCUACAAAGUCUCAGAAUGGUAUUACAACCACCUAAAUGGUCAAAUGCCUAUUAUAAUGGUGACUGAUAAUACGAAGAUGAUUGAAGAAUAUGGAUGCAAAACUUUGAACGUCUUUGUUUUAUCAAUGGAAGACUACAUGAAUAACUUUUGGGAGGAACUUCCAGGAAUAAUUGAUUUGUACGCGUCUCUUCGUGCAUCUUUAGACAGUAAACAAAAAGGAACAGAAUAUUUGGGAUAUCUUCCAAUGCACUGUCUUGAGAGUGGUGUCAAAACUGGUCUCUUCAUAAAGGGACACUUAAAUGUCAACAAACAUGAUGCUCAGAGAGAAGCUUUUCUACAGCGUAGCAGCUGCUCUGAUAUCAAAAGUGGUAAUACCGAUAUUCUAAUUCAUGGAAUGCCUCACCGAAAUCGUGCCAUUCAUGGUGACCUAGUUGUUGUGGAAUUAUUACCAAAGUCUGAGUGGAGAGGCCGGUCAAUGUGUCUUAAUGAGAAUAAUCAAGGUUCUGAAGAUGAAGAAUCUGAUAUGUCAACUGUGAUGCCAAAUGGUAAAGUAGUUGGAAUCAUUCAAAGAAACUCCCGAGACUACGCUGCCUCUUUAGUUACAGAUGAGAAUAUGGAAUCAGAAGGGAAGAAAAAUCCUCGACGAGCUGAUCGUGUCUUAGCAAUUCCUUGGGAUUACCGAAUACCAAAAAUUCGUAUAAGUACCCGUCAAAUUGAAAACCUCAGAGAUCAAAGAUUUGUGGUAAGGAUUGAUUCUUGGGAAUUAGGUUCCCAAUACCCCAAUGGGCAUUUCGUCCGAACUUUAGGCCCUGCUGGAGACCCAGAAACUGAAAUUGCCACCAUUCUAGUAGAGAACAAUAUAUUUAUUGGAAAUUUUUCAGAUUCACAGUUACAAGAACUCCCUAAAGUAAGUCCAGAAAAUCCUUGGGAAAUUCCAGUAGAAGAAUCUUCUAAAAGGAGAGACCUUCGAAAGAGCCAUCUUGUGUUCAGUAUUGACCCUCCAGGCUGUGAAGAUGUUGAUGACACACUGUCAGUGAGGCAUCUCCCAGACGGUCAUAUUGAAUUAGGUGUCCACAUUGCUGACGUCACCUUCUUUGUGAAGCCGGGUUCACUGUCAGACUUGGAAGCUAGAGGUCGUUCCACUACGGUUUAUCUCGCUGACCGCCGUUACGACAUGCUGCCAUCAGUCCUGAGUUCUAAUUUAUGUUCACUGGUCAGCGGAGAGGACAAAUGUUCUGUGAGUGUUAUGUGGGAGAUGGAUGCCAGCUUCAAUGUCCUUGAUGUCUGGUAUGGCCGGACUCUGAUUAAUUCUUCGUAUAAAUUAACAUAUGAGACAGCUCAGGCCUUAGCUGAUGGAGCUACAGUAGAAGAGGCUUCCUCAAAGAUUACAGAACUGGAAACAUUAGGAACAGACAAACACCAAAGAGUUGAAGAACUUCGUGUUGCCAUCCGCUUACUUAUGGAAAUAGCAUUCCAACUGAAAGCUGAGAGGAAAGAAAAAGGGGCUCUAGAUCUCGAUGGCCUCGAAGUUCGGCCGGUUGUUGAUGAAAAGAAAAACAUUUCUGAGUUAAUCAUUGACAAGCAUUUAGAAGUUCAUGAUACAGUAGCUGAGUGCAUGAUUUUAGCCAAUGAAUGGGUAGCUCGGAAAAUAUCUUCAACAUUUAUUAACCAUGCAUUGUUACGGCACCAUCCUUUACCACGUCAGGAAUUCUUUCAAGACAUUAUUGAUUUUGCUAAGGUGAAAAACUUCACCAUUGAUACCUCUUCCAAUAAAUCGCUGGCUGAUUCUCUUGACAGGUGUGUUGAUCCUAACGACAUCUACUUCAACAAGCUUUUACGAAUGAUGGCAGUCUUAGCAAUGCCCCAGUCACUAUAUUUCUCAACAGGCUCUUUAAAUCGGGAUAAUUUCUUCCACUAUGGAUUAGCUCUGGAUGUCUACACACAUUUUACGUCACCUAUUCGUCGAUAUGCUGAUAUCCUUGUCCACCAUCAACUCUUGUCAGCGAUUGGGGAAGGUCCUGAUGACUACAAGCUACCUGGCAAUGAAGAACUGCAGAAGUUCUGCGACCACAUUAACAUGAAGCACAGAGCAGCACAGAAUGCUCAACGUGAUUCACAGAAAAUGUUCCAAGCUUUAUAUUUCAAGGACAAAUCUUUUGACAAAAAUAAGGAAGAUGUUAUUGCUGAAGCUAUUGUGAUUCAGCUAAGAUCCAAUGGGGUCCUUGUCUUUGUACCUCGCUUUGGUCUGAAAGGUCCAGUUUAUUUGAAAGACAAGCAAGAUAAAGUUGUAGAGUUCUCCGCAGCAAAUCAAAAGAUGGAAUGGGGUCAUGGCUCCAUAACCCGUGGUGAUAAUCAUGUUACAGUUAUAAGUCGCUCUGGCAAAAAGAUGAAGUUUACUCUCUUGCAGCACAUAACUGUAAUUAUUUCCUUAGAAUUGGUCAAUGCUCAUCAACCAAAUGUUAAACUGGAGCUGCUUUCUGAUAAACCGAUUCUUUUACAAAACCAAAAUCAAACUGAUCUAAAAAAUGUGUUUGACAAGCUUUCUAAAAAGGAUGCAAACGCCUUGAGUGCUGAUGAAAUAGCAGCUGCCUCAGCGAACUCAUUUACUCAUCUGAAUACAGAAUACAGACAGUCUGAGGCUGAAAAUAGUUUGUAUGAAGUGUUUGAAUCUUUCCAGGAAAUGGGUAUAAUGUCCGUAUAAGGAAAUGGAUUUUGUUGAACCAGUUUUGUACAUUUUGACCUAAAUGGGUGAUUGUUGUAAAUAUUUGUCUGUACAUACACAUGUAUAUGUCUGUGGUGUGUGUGUGUGUGUGUGUGUAUGUGUGUGCGU